rnacentral:rRNA from 1 species
UACGAAGGGUGCAAGCGUUAAUCGGAAUUACUGGGCGUAAAGGGUGCGUAGGCGGUUCGUUAAGUCUGUUGUGAAAUCCCCGGGCUCAACCUGGGAAUGGCAAUGGAUACUGGCGAGCUAGAGUGUGAUAGAGGAUGGUGGAAUUCCUGGUGUAGCGGUGAAAUGCGUAGAUAUCAGGAGGAACACCUGUGGCGAAGGCGGCUUUCUGGCCUGUUCUUGACGCUGAGGCGCGAAAGCUAGGGUAGCAAACGGG